rnacentral:lncRNA from 1 species
GCAGACCUUCUCCAGCUAAUCUCAGGAAGGCUGAAGUUUUUAGACGGCUACCCUUCAUAUUUAGGGAGAGAAUAUAACCAUGUGGAAAGUCUAGUCUUCAUGUGGAACAUCUGUUACGAAGAAAUUCUACUUGGAAAGCUUGUCUGCUCUAUUAACCCAUCCCUGUUGCUCACUUGGAAGAAGAGGGCCUUCACUUUCCACUGUAAGAAGAAGGUCUUCUGUUGCUCUGAACGCUUCUGUUUAGAGACCUUUCUUCACUGUCCCCAAGGGAUGUUUUCUAAGCCAAGUUCACCUACGAUCUCACACACGCGCUGUUGAGGUGUAAUGUUACAGACAUGGUGAUUUACAACGCAGAUAUAUUACCCCAGAUCCUCCAGGUGUUGGAGAAGGGCCCUCCUGACAACUUGAUUCCGUGUCUUCCUCUGUUGAAUUGGAUUUAUCUUACCUUCUUUCACUAAGCCCCCGGGGCUCUUUAUCUCUCAGCUCAUCUGAAUUUUUUCCCCAGAGAUCCCAACCUUUUCCAAGCAGAUUUCUGCCAUCUUCACUCAGGCACCUAAUCCAAGCCGAACUGUUUUCCAUCCCAUCGCACAACAGUAUACAGUCUUCAUUGCUCUCUUACAGGAAGUGGUUUUGCUUCCUCCAUCCACGUACACAGCUCUUGAGGACCGAGUCUCUGACCUGCGACUUGUAAAGAUUCUGGGAAGUUUCUAGAGGGGCAAUUCAUGAAAGAAAGACUCAGUAACUUGAAUCUGCAAAUUUCAAAAUGUGGAAAAAGAAUUUUAUCAGUACCAUAGGAUGAGACUGCUUUUACCUAAGAAGAAAGCUCUCAUGGUAUUUGUCAAAUUCCAGAACAGCGAGGGCACAGCCAUUUAUAACAGUUCCUUAUGAAUCCUUUACAUGGUAGUGUGCACACUUGGACCAGCAAAUAUUUAAGAUGAAAUGCUACCCAGUGGAUUACAUCUGAGAAAGAAAGCAAUGAGUACUUGAGGACUCCUGCUACUAGUGUGCCAUGGACCCUCUAUUGCAAUGACAAAAGUGAAAACAUAAAAUGUCAACCUCUGGACCAAUGUGUGGUUAGUGCCACCGCAGCACUGUUGCCCCAGGAUGCCCUGAAUAAACCAUUGUUGUGGUUUCCCUGACAGACAGCUUGUCGGCAAAUGAUCAGUAUUGGCCAUGAUUUCGGGCUAAUUUCAUGGAUGUUUUCCAGUUUCCGUGAUCUUCCGUUCCCGUUUUCCAAACAAAAGUGCUUCUGAAAAUUUCUGUUUAACAUCUUUCACUUUGAAUAAAGAGAACAAGAAACAUUCCCCUCGCA